rnacentral:rRNA from 1 species
UACAGAGGGUGCGAGCGUUGUCCGGAAUCACUGGGCGUAAAGGGCGCGUAGGCGGCUUGAUAAGGUUGCGGUGAAAGCCCGGGGCUCAACCCCGGGUCGGCCGUGGCAACUGUCGAGCUGGAGCACUGUAGAGGCAGGGUGGAAUUCCGGGUGUAGCGGUGGAAUGCGUAGAGAUCCGGAAGAACACCGGUGGCGAAGGCGGCCUGCUGGGCAGUGGCUGACGCGAGGCGCGACAGCGUCGGGGAGCAAA